GGAAGAGGUCAGCUUGAGGUCAGCCCCAUCCAUAGCUCCAGGUCUUGUGGCAGGCCUCUGUGUAGAGAGUUUUCAGGAUGCUGUUGGGCUCCAGGACUACGCUGCUUUAUCCAGGGCUUGGACAGAUCCUCUGCCUCUAGGCAGAGUGCUUUAGGCAAUGGUGGGUACAGGAAAGGAGAGGGGGCCAAGGAAAGAUCUGUGGCCAGGCCCCCCACGAUGUAUGGUCCUCCCUGCACCUACUCAAUCUUGCGAUUUUUGGAAAACCUGUGCAGCUCUUGCCCUGGGCUCCUGAGAGGAAGAGGUGGCAGCAGGUUGCUGUGGAGAGCUGAGGUGGUGCCCCAGGUAUGAUGGAGGGCUGGGGUUGCUCACUGAGGACCUAACUGGCAGGGCCCUGCCCUCAGGAGGAUUUGCAGCUGAGCCUGGAAUGCCGCAGCCUUUUGUGGAUCCCAGCACAGCCGAGAGAACUCUGCCACAGUGCUGCUGAGUGGUGGGCAACUGUGGGAAAUGAGGGAAGCAGUCUGGUCCUCCGUUGCCUCCUCCGUGUAACAAAGCCUGGUGGCAGAAAUUUCUGUGCACAGCUGUGGGAUGCAGGCAGGGGCUUCUGGCCCAGGACCCAGCUCACGGCUCUGCAUUCAGCAGCAAGCUGCAGUUGUUUAAAAAAAAAACAAAAAA
rnacentral:lncRNA from 1 species